rnacentral:rRNA from 1 species
UACGUAGGAGGCAAGCGUUAUCCGGAAUGACUGGGCGUAAAGGGUGCGUAGGUGGUUUGGCAAGUUAGUAGCGUAACCCCGGGGCUCAACCCCAUCCAGCCGUUGAAACUGGGGAUCUAGAGUGUGCGAGAGGUAUGCGGAAUGCGUGGUGUAGCGGUGAAAUGCAUAGAUAUCACGCAGAACCCCGAUUGCGAAGGCAGCAUACCGGUGCACAACUGACGCUCAGGCACGAAAGCGUGGGUAUCGAACAGG